rnacentral:rRNA from 1 species
AGGCAGCACGUAGGGAAUCUUAGACAAUGGGGGCAACCCUGAUCUAGCCAUGCCGCGUGUGUGAUGAAGGCCCUAGGGUCGUAAAGCACUUUCGCCAGAGAUGAUAAUGACAGUAUCUGGUAAAGAAACCCCGGCUAACUCCGUGCCAGCAGCCGCGGUAAUACGGAGGGGGUUAGCGUUGUUCGGAAUUACUGGGCGUAAAGCGCACGUAGGCGGAUUAGUAAGUUAGAGGUGAAAUCCCAGGGCUCAACCCUGGAACUGCCUUUAAUACUGCUAGUCUUGAGUUCGAGAGAGGUAAGUGGAAUUCCGAGUGUAGGAGGUGAAAUUCGUAUGAUAUUCGGCAGGAACACCAGUGGCGAAGGCGGCUUACUGGCUCGAUACUGACGCUGAGGUGCGAAAGUGUGGGGAGCAAACAGGAUUAGAUACCCU